AGAGUGAACGCUGGCGGCAGGCCUAAUACAUGCAAGGCGAACGGCAGCACGGCAGAGCUUGCUCUGUGGGUGGCGAGUGGCGGACGGGUGAGGAAUACAUGGGAAUCUGCCCAGUCGUGGGGGAUAACGUAGGGAAACUUACGCUAAUACCGCAUGCGCCCUUCGGGGGAAAGCCGGGGACCUUCGGGCCUGGCGCGAUUGGAUGAGCCCAUGUCGGAUUAGCUAGUUGGCGGGUAACGCCCACAAGGCGACGAUCCGUAGCUGGUCUGAGAGGAUGAUCAGCCACACUGGAACUGAGACACGGUCCAGACUCCUACGGGAGCAGCAGUAGGAAUAUUGGACAAGUGGGCGCAAGCCUGAUCCAGCCAUCGCCGCGUGAGUGAAGAGGUCCUUGGUUAGUAAGCUCUUUUGUACCGGAAAGUAAAGCUUCGGGUACAACGUACCCCGGAGUUCCCUAGGUACCGGUAACCGGAAGAACUAA
rnacentral:rRNA from 1 species